rnacentral:rRNA from 1 species
AGCUUGCUCCCGGGUGGCGAGUGGCGCACGGGUGAGUAAUACAUCGGAACGUGUCCUGUUGUGGGGGAUAACUGCUCGAAAGGGUGGCUAAUACCGCAUGAGACCUGAGGGUGAAAGCGGGGGAUCGCAAGACCUCGCGCAAUUGGAGCGGCCGAUGCCCGAUUAGCUAGUUGGUGAGGUAAAGGCUCACCAAGGCGACGAUCGGUAGCUGGUCUGAGAGGACGACCAGCCACACUGGGACUGAGACACGGCCCAGACUCCUACGGGAGGCAGCAGUGGGGAAUUUUGGACAAUGGGGGCAACCCUGAUCCAGCCAUGCCGCGUGCAGGAUGAAGGCCUUCGGGUUGUAAACUGCUUUUGUCAGGGACGAAAAGGACCGUGUUAAUACCAUGGUCUGCUGACGGUACCUGAAGAAUAAGCACCGGCUAACUACGUGCCAGCAGCCGCGGUAAUACGUAGGGUGCAAGCGUUAAUCGGAAUUACUGGGCGUAAAGCGUGCGCAGGCGGUUCUGUAAGACAGAUGUGAAAUCCCCGGGCUUAACCUGGGAAUUGCAUUUGUGACUGCAGGACUAGAGUUCAUCAGAGGGGGGUGGAAUUCCAAGUGUAGCAGUGAAAUGCGUAGAUAUUUGGAAGAACACCAAUGGCGAAGGCAGCCCCCUGGGAUGCGACUGACGCUCAUGCACGAAAGCGUGGGGAGCA